rnacentral:rRNA from 1 species
AUUGAACGCUGGCGGCAGGCCUAACACAUGCGAGUCGAGCGGAUGAAGGGAGCUUGCUCCUGGAUUCAGCGGCGGACGGGUGAGUAAUGCCUAGGAAUCUGCCUGGUAGUGGGGGAUAACGUCCGGAAACGGGCGCUAAUACCGCAUACGUCCUGAGGGAGAAAGUGGGGGAUCUUCGGACCUCACGCUAUCAGAUGAGCCUAGGUCGGAUUAGCUAGUUGGUGGGGUAAAGGCCUACCAAGGCGACGAUCCGUAACUGGUCUGAGAGGAUGAUCAGUCACACUGGAACUGAGACACGGUCCAGACUCCUACGGGAGGCAGCAGUGGGGAAUAUUGGACAAUGGGCGAAAGCCUGAUCCAGCCAUGCCGCGUGUGUGAAGAAGGUCUUCGGAUUGUAAAGCACUUUAAGUUGGGAGGAAGGGCAGUAAGUUAAUACCUUGCUGCUUUGACGUUACCAACAGAAUAAGCACCGGCUAACUUCGUG